GAUGAACGCUGGCGGCGUGCCUAAUACAUGCAAGUCGAACGGUCCGCAAGGAUAGUGGCGAACGGGUGAGUAACGCGUUGGUGACUGCCCCGCAGUGGGGGAUAACGGAUCGAAAGGUCCGCUAAUACCGCAUAAGCUCUGGUCUGUUAGAGGGACUAGAGGAAAGCCGAAAGGCGCUAAGGGAGGGACCUGCGUCCCAUCAGCUAGUUGGUAGGGUAGUGGCCUACAAAGGCGAUGACGGGUAGGGGACCUGAGAGGGUGACCCCCCACAAUGGAACUGAAACACGGUCCAUACACCUACGGGUGGCAGCAGUAGGGAAUAUUGGUUAAUGGGCGAAAGCCUGACCCAGCAACGCCGCGUGAACGAUGAAGGCCUUCGGGUUGUAAAGUUCUUUUUAGCCGGAUGAGGAAGGACAGUACGGCUAGAAUAAGUCUCGGCUAACUACGUGCCAGCCGCCGCUGUAACAC
rnacentral:rRNA from 1 species